AACAACUGUUCAGAGACAAAAUAUUUUUAGGACAAAUUCAUAUUUCACACUAGAUGUCGACCAAUUAAUCGGAAUGGAUGAUUAAUUAGGGCUGAUUCCAAGUUUUUAUAACAAUUGGUAAUCGCCAUUGUUGGACACCAUCAUGGCCGAUUACAUUGCACUCCACGAGGAGACUGCGUGGCAGGCUGACUACCAGUGCAGCAAGGAGCCAUGGUAGUGCAGUCCCAGAGUCAGCUUCUUCACCAUCAAGUUGUUCUUGCCUUUCGAGGUGAAGUGUAGAGUGGCGAUCUCCCCCUUCCUGAGGUACACUGUCUGGUGGAGGAGAGAAUCCCUACAGUCCUCUUCUCUGGCCUGCAGGCUGAAGCUGGCCAGCUCCCGACUCCCCUCCCUCAGCUCCAGGGUCCCGUUGCCUAACUGUCCAUCCAGACCCUCACUGCACACCUCCAUGUACAGCAUGUAAGGACCAGUACACCUGAUCUGAAUCCCAGUAUCGCCGCUGAGAUUCAUUGUAUGGUUAACGUACCUCUUAAAACUGACUGGCGUAUUGUCUGGGAUGUCUGCAGAGACUGGGAGGGGAGGAAAUGAGGGUGGAUAGGGAUAACCUCCUGCAUCACUUUCAUGUUAUAACAUAUUCUUCACCUGCUACAUUUCAGUUGAAUGCAUUGUUGUACAACUGACUUAGGUAUCCCCCUUUCCUAGCCUUAUAAUUUAUUAUUACACCGUUGUAACACCUACUGUUAAAAAUGUGUGAAUAACAGGAUGUUUGUUAUGAGGCCAAGUGUAACGAGAUAGAGUAUUACGAACAGGGGAUAACUCACCUGUAACAGGGUCAAAGUGGAUGUAGAUCUCACUCUCCUCCGGCCUCUCAGACACCUGGCACAGCAGAACACACACCGUCAGAGAACACACAACACACGCAUGUUUAUGGUCUGUGGUCUGUGGUUGUCCGUCCUGCUUUCCUGUUAUUAAUAUGAGUGAGUCAGUGUGUCAGUAAGGGACAUCCUCUAUGUCUCCCUGAUAACCCGUCAGAAAGGUUACAGAGCACUGGGGAGUCCUGUGGUCUGUAUGGGGGCUGCCCCUACACACUGAUCUAAGGUCAGCUUAUGGUUAGGAUGGGGAUGGGUAAGACGAUCCUAGAUCUGAGCGUAUUCAAGUGCCAAUGCAUUUGUUAAAUUUAAACAUUUGUUACAUUUAAAUAAAGGUUAUUAUUAUUAUA